rnacentral:rRNA from 1 species
CAGCCGCCGCGGGAAUACGGAGGGGGCUAGCGUUGUUCGGAAUUACUGGGCGUAAAGCGCACGUAGGCGGCUUGGUAAGUUAGAGGUGAAAGCCUGGAGCUCAACUCCAGAAUUGCCUUUAAGACUGCCGAGCUAGCAGGUGAGAGAGGUAAGUGGAAUUCCGAGUGUAGAGGUGAAAUUCGUAGAUAUUCGGAAGAACACCAGUGGCGAAGGCGGCUUACUGGCUCAUACUGGACGCUGAGGUGCGAAAGCGUGGGGAGCAAACAGGAUUAGAUACCCCUGUAGUCCCUGUCUCUUAUAU